GGGCAGGGGACGGCAGGGCUUGCGCGGGUCGGCGCGCAAAAUGCGCGGGUGCGGGCAAGUCCCCGCGGGUGCGCAGCGGCCCGAGUGAGCCAGGGGCUCCGGGGAGCUCAAGGCGCCCGUGUGUGCCGGCAAGCGUGUGUGGCCGGUCCCCGAGAGCUGCAGCUCCCAAGGCUGCUGCGGAGAUUUUUUUUCCCCUUCUUUUUACCCUUUUUUUUUUUCUCGCUCGCUCCUUUUUUUUUUUUUUUUUCCCUCCUCAUUCAGAGCCCCGGGUGUCCCUCGGCUCUCAUUGGCCGCUCUGGCUCGGAGGGGCGGAGCUGGACUGCCUGCAAAAGGAGGAAAAGAAAAAAAAAGAGAGGAAAAAAAAAAAAAAAAAGAGACCGAGUGCGGAGAGGGAAGAAAAAAAAAGGAGAAAACUGUAAGUGCGUAAAAAAGUUCUCGCCGUGGUGACGGAUGCUCAAAAGUUCAGGAGUUUUUCCGAUGCUUCCCAAAGCAGCCCGCGACUGAAAAAGAGACUGAAAAAAAGCGAGAGGGAGAGAGAGAGGGAGACUUUGCACUGGGAGAUCUGGAAGGUGGAUUUUUUCUUCUGCUGCUCGCUUCAAAAAAGCCAACAAAACAUAUCCCUGUACUUUUGUCCCUCCUUUGCAGACAACUUGUUGCAGAUCCCCGUGGAACAAGGAACUGGGAGCGUGGGAGCCUCUUUGCAAAGCAGAACUGGGCCUGCCCUGAACGCCAAAGAGAUGCGGUCCGACCCUGCGCAGAGGUGGGCACAGGACGUGCGCCCAGGCAGCAGCUGGAAGGUGCCUCCCCAAGGCCUCUGCAUCUUUGGUGGCAGUCCGUACAGCGAACGGGGACACUCGGCCCCAGCCUUGCCUGCAGAGCGGUCCAUUAGGUGACAGGUUAGCACGGCACUUUGUGUUGUAUUUUUAGCUCAAGCUGAUUUUUUUCCCCAAAAAAACUAUUGCUUUGCUCUUCGUCUAGGGAAAACACCCUUUAAAAUUUUUUAAUUAAUUUGAGGAACCUUUCUGUUUAGCUGUUUCUGUUGGUUUCUUGUAUUUGCUCAUCUGUCACUUACUUAAGCUAAAGAAAACGCAGAGAAAAGGAAUAUUCUCCCUUCUAAGUUUUCUUCUCGGAAUUUCUUAAAGCGAGUGACAGUUCAUAUUAUGUUCUGCAAAGGUCAUAACCAAAAAUAGCAGAUAAGUGCAUGCAAAUAGUUGAGAGGACAUGGAUUAAAACCCUUCCCCUACCUAUACAGGCCAGGUCAGAGAGAGAAUAUGGUGCGACUGUGUUGUGGAUGGCGACGUUAAGGGAGUGUUUCCAAACGGGCAUUUUACGAUAUCUGGGGCCCUUUCUGAAAGCCGCCAAGUUCGGGAAAGGCUCUUCGAAGUCAGCACGGGGGUAUUUGUAUAGUCGGGUUUAACUUCAUAACGUUUUUGGUAACCGCUGGAGUUUCAUCAUAGUGACAAGCCGCCUGUAUUCGGGCUGUCCUCCGCUUUCACCUCCCCAAAAAUACGCUGAUUAGAGCGGGGCAAGCUUAAAGUUUCGCUCCGGGUUCUGAAAGCUUUUCUUGCUCAUUGCGGGGGAGUCGCAAACUGCUGUGGGUUUUAAGGGAGGCAGCGUGGUGCCGCCCCGCAGAAAGGAGCGGUCGCGCACGGUCGGGCGCUGAGCGCGUCUCGGCGACCACGUGAAGAUGAACGUGAGGUAACAAUGCUUUAUUACGUCGUAUUGAUUGCGUAGGCAAAAGCGUGCAGGACCGAGACGCGCACAUGGCUCCGCUGCGCACAGGCAUGUACAGGAGCACUGCGGUAAAGAGCGUACAAACGCUCCUCCAUCCUCUUCCCAACCGUCACCCAUUUCAGCGGUAACCGCUAAUUGAACAUUAGCUUUCAAUGAAUUUCGCUUGUAAAGUAAUUUAAACCCCUCGCCGUGGUCCGUCUAUUUUCCCCGGUUCCUUGUGUCGGCCGGGCAUGUUGGCUAAAUGCUUCGUUCUUUCUAAGAGGCACGCAUUUUGGAGUGGUGAAGGGCGUGGGUUUUGGAGCUGUUGAGCCCCCGGGAUGCCCGAGGCCGAACUGUCGCUGAGCGGGCCGCAAAUGACACACCCAUGCGCGCAGUUGGGCCAGUGCAGAGGGAGAGCACAGGUUUGCGCAAGAGGUUCUCCGCGUCGACGUAGCGGGCCUAAAGUGUGGCGUAAAGGAGCUGCUCGGUGCUCCCCUGGGACGUGCAUGGGUUUCGGUCAGAAUCUCGCACACAAACUCACGGGCUGGGAGGAUCCCACUUACUCUUCCCGUGUGGUGUUUUGUUGUUGAUUUUGGUGUCUGUUCGUUUGUUUGUUUUUGGUUGGUUGUUGUUGUUGUUGCUGUUGUUUGUUUUUUUUUUUAUAUAUUUUUUUUUUCUUUUCCUUCUACUUCGCCUCCCCGUCGGCUUGUCUGCGUUGUGAAUACGCCCCAAAGGUGGUGCGGUGCCGCGGUGAACGUAGCCCUCCUGCUUUAAUUACGCUGAGGCUCAUAAAGCCAUUCGCUUCUUUCCAAAGUAAUAAACAAACGUCGCGUUAGGUCAAGAUUGAUGGUGUCCAUGCAAUAAAAACGGGCCAGGUCAGGAAGGAAUAAAAUUCAAUCAGAGCUCGCGGAAUCAUUUUUCAGGGGACAGAAAGACAGAAAAGGAGACGGGCUUCAAGGGAGGCGAUAUCGCCGUUCACAACACACCAGCCGGGAGGGAGGAGGGCGAGGGUUAACGAGCGAUUGUUUUUUAUCAAGCGGAGCCUAAUUGAAAGAAACAAUAGCCGCAUCGGCGGGGGAGGGCCGGCUCCUUGCGCGGGGGAGCCUCUGCGGGGCCAGCCUGUAGUCCCGCAUCCCGGCGGGUACCGGGACCCACUCUCAGCAUUCCUGCACUGUCUUCCCGCGUUAAAACUUUACACACGCACCUGGGGCAACGGGCAGGUCAUCCGUGCCCCAGUUCGGGGUCUGGCAGCGCAGACAGCGUUAGUAAAGGGCCGGGUGCUUAGAGAAGGAUGGCAGGACUCUCAUUUUGCAAGAAGGCGCUCUAAAAGGCCUGCUUGGAGAGCCGGAAAAGCAAGCCCCAGCUCUCGAGGGUCACUACGGCGGGAGCAGGGGCCCUCGGUGUGAUUUGCAUCUACCGUCUCUCCCCUUGGGUUUAGAUUGGUGGGAAAGCUGCUGGCGUCCCAAGAUUUGGGAACCGGCUGCAGAGCUGUUAGACACUCGGCGAGCAGUGGGGGUUCGUGGAGCAGGGCCGCCGGGGGGCCGGGGUGUGCAGGGAGGAGGCGGCAGCACAGCCCCACAGGGAAGCUCCUGCGGUCCGAGGGGCUCGUUUUCGUCCUUCCCCAGCCUCACCUGCUUCACCAGCCCGCCGGUGUUUUGUGCUCCGCGGGCCCAGCAGGCAGCCGGCAAACUCUCCCUCCCUCCGAUGAACAGUCAGGGUGUUUGGGGAGGGUUUCUCCCUCGGGCCCCAAGCAAACACGUCUAUUGUGCGUACCUCUGCGAUCUUCUAGGCCCACAGCUUGUGUCUUGCUUGGUAUGCGUGUGCCGCAAAAUAACUAUUAAAAAGCACUAGGAUGGUGGGGAAGGAGGCCCGGGCUACCGGUAAGAGCUCACAAGCUCUCCGGCUAAAUGGGAAUUGGGUGGUCGGCCAUUUUUUUGCCCCCUAAAUAAACACAGCUUGAAACGACUUGGGUGGGCAGAAGGGAACAAUUUGUGAGCCAGAGAGCAAGCGAGCUGGGCAGGCAGCCGGCCUGAGACAUACCUGCUGCAGAAUUUCACCUGACCUUUAGGUGUCAGGGGGCUUGGUUGUGCAGUGUAUUACCCCAAAUUCAGGUCAGCUGCUUUAGGCUGCGUUCAGCAUAAUUAAAAACAAUGAAACCCCCAAACUGGAAUCCCCAAUCCUUUCCAGCCCCCAUCACCUCUGGGGAGAAUACAGGAAAACCAAAGCAUUUAGAACCAUUAACUCUUAAAAUAGCUGAAUUUCCUUCAGUAGAAAAAACGCAUAUUAUUACACUCAUGAGUUCAGAAUAUUUAUAUAUUAUAUGAAUCGAUGAAUAAACAGGUCAUAUCGCUACAGCCAUUCGUCCCUUGGAAGGCAAGCUCUCGGUUUAGAAGGAACGUCACAGCCGUUUUCCCCCCAUCGUUCCUGGAAUUUAUUUACUUGCCAGAACAUUUAAACAGCCGAGUUUAUUAUUUUUUUAAUAAAUAUUUGAAAUAAGAAAAAAAGAAGAAAGUUUUCCAUUGAAAGAUAAUGUUAAAGUACUGAUAAUAUCAUUCAAAUAAGAAGAGAAUUGUUUAAACAAUGUCGGUGCUUGCAAGAUUGCCCAGUAUAAAUACAUUCGCUCUGCCUUUUUUAUGCGAGUUUCUGCUGGAACUCUUCUUUUUUUUUUUUUUUUUUUUUUUUCUGUAUAUAUGUGUGUGUGUAGGUAUGUAUUUCCCCGCUCCGAUUGUGUUCAGUUGUUCUGCAGCUGGUAGCUAGCGGAGGGGCAAGUCACCGUGCCAAGCCACGUCUCCCCGGGACCGGGGGUCCCGGCUGCUGCGCUGCCGUUGCGGGCUGCACGACGGGGCGCACGGCGCAGACAGCGGGCAGGAGCAGAGCGAGAAAACUCGCCUCUUUCCUUUAGUGAGGAUUUAUGAAAGUACUCGCGGCCAGCGCUUCAAACCUCGCCUCUCAAAGAUGGGAUGGCUUUAAAACCGAAUAGCGAAUUGCAGAGAAAUUACUGCUUUAUCCCGACGCCAUUCUCCGCCCCCCAAGCGCUCCUCCGGGGGGACGAAGCGGGGCGGGGGACGGAGGGGACGGAGCGCGGAAUGAACCGGUGAGAGCUCAUUAGCAAAGCAAAGGUUGCAAUUAGAGUCUGCUGCUGAGAACCGACCUCUCCCCCGCUCGCCUCCCCUAGCCCCCAUCAUCAAAUAAUUGCAAAGUAUCUGUUGAUGUUUCUCUUCCAUCCGUCAAAACGUUGGAGGUCUGCCUGCUCCAGCGCUCCUUUCUGGGAUUGUUGUGUCUGGAGACAAUGCUCCGCCAGCGAAGUACCAGAGGUGAAGGAGGGUCACGCGGGGAGGCAAGGAGCGCGGCCCUGCGAGGCGGCUGGGAGCCUCCUACCCCCUGCAAACCUGCCUCCCAGAAACAAGGUGGGGGGCGGGCCCGGAGCUGCGAUCCCCGGCCGGCGAGGCCCGUGUCCCUCUCCCCGUGCUGCCCCGGGGCAGCUCCGUUCCGGCCGAGUGAAGGGAAGAGGAUGUGACCCUCAUGUCCGUCCGGGGGGACGCGGCAGCUUGAUGUGCAACGGGCUGGGGGGAAGGCGCUGGACUCCUCAGGUCCCCCAAGUUACAUUUAAAUUUUAUUGUUUAAAUACACUUCCAGAAAUCGAUCAGUCUUCCAUGCGCGAUCAGAGCUGGCCGCGGGGCUAUUUGCCAUCACAUACCCACCCCCGCGUGUGCGUACAGGAGUAGCGGGUCUGUUCCUUCCACCGCAGCCCCCCUUUCUUUUACCCUUUUACCCUUCAGGCUGAUGCUGCGAGCAGGAGGUGUAUUUUUAGAUGGCGCUGGCGGUUUUGCUCCACGACCCCGAGGAAACCCCCGUCGCUUUGUCUCGCCAGCCUUCCGCACCGGGCCGGGGAGGAGGGCGGCGAGUAGGCCGGCUGCGCCGCCGGCGGGCCCUGGGGCAGGGCUGACCCCCGCCCUGGCUCUCUUGCAGAAGUGGCAGGGGCUUGUGCGCUGGUGGGCGACCACAUCACAGGCCUCUGCUGUGCUCCUUGCACCCUGCGGGGAUUUUGCAGCCCACGGGUGGCUGGUGGUUCCAAACGCCCCUGAAAAGCUUCAGAUGAGGGAAAAACAAUUGGGGAAAAAAAAGAAAAAAAAGGGUUUCGUGACAGUUUUACCUUUGGCAAGACAGGCUCCGGAGGUUGGGGGGGAAGGCAGCGGCCCGCACGGCGCAGGCGAGGGGCUGAGUUACGGCUGCGGGAUGUGGGGCGGCGGCGCUGACAGGCGGCAGGCGAAGGGGAGCGCGCCCUGCCUUAGCUGCUCGUAACUCCCGGCGCUGCGGAGCGAGGAGCCGCAAUCAGGGCCAGGCCGGCUCUCCCGAGUGGGCCCCAGCCCUCCGCAACCAUCUGGGCAGGAGCUGGACCCUCUCUCCGCUCCCUGCACGCCUGAAAUCCCCUCCUCUCGACAGGGCGCACACCCGGGCAGCCCCACCACCCAGCGCUGCCGUUACCAUUCCGCUUCUCCCCAUAGCAGUAGCGCAGGGCUAGCCUUCUCCGCUUCCUACGACGUGGUGGGACAGGCUAUCCGGGCGUUGCCCCCCCGCCCCGCAGGCUCCCGGGUUUGUCCCGCGUCCGCGCUCCCUUCCCCGGCCCCUGCCCGGCGGGCGGCCGCUCGCUGGCCCCGGCAAGCAACUGGCCUUCCCCUGGCAGCGCUGCCGCUCCGCAGUCGGCAGAUUGGGGCUCAGCGGUGCUUGGGCGUGCCGGGAAGCCAAAGCAAAACCCACCUUGCCGGCUGCUUUGUUCGCUGCUGCUGCCGGUGGGACGCUUAUGAAAGGCACGGGAGACUGAGGGCAUGCUCCGUUAUUUACUUCUGGAGCUGUCCUUCUAAACUCACGAAGCUGUAAUGACCCACAAAUGAGACAUGAGAUAGAGAGAGGAGAGAUGUGUCUUUCUGUACCUGCACGCACAAAACGCUUGACAUACACAUUAAAACGAUGUACAGGACUCUCGGCUGCAACUGGUGCCUUAUGUACAUAUAUAGAUAUCUCCUUUAUAGCCGUGGGGUUUUUUGUUUGUUUGUUUGUUUGUUUGUUUGUUUGUUUGUUUGUUUUUAAUUCGUUUUCAAUAAGUGAUCUCGUGGUCAAUGCAAAGAGUGGUACUUACAGGAAUUCAAAAUUGGGCAGAAAGGUGGUGGUAAGGAAACCGAGAAGGAGUUCAGAUCUUUGCGAAAUUGUAAAAAGCAGAGGGGCAGGACUGAGACAUACGUUUUGUCCUGUCACGACCAGUAGUGCUUUUUUUCUUUUAUUUUCUUUUUUUUUUUUUUUUCUUUUUUUUUCCAAAGCAGCAAAAGACAUCCAGCACAAGGCCACCGCGCAGGGACUGCUUGGUCUAGAAUUUUUUUUUUUGCUUCGCAUCCCUUUUCCCGCUUGCUCCUCAAUGCAGAGACAGAAAACGGAGAUUAAAAAUGCUUCUCUUGAAGCACAGUUAGAGAUGCCAAAGAAAAAACCCCUGAGGUCGAAGGAAAACUGGCAGCUUAUGUAAAAGUUCCCAGCCCUUUUGCAAAGAUGUGUGAACUAACAUUCAGAUGUACCAGCAAGCCUCCCAGUGAAUCACUGUAAGCAAAAAAUAGUUCCCAGCAAUAUAAAAAUAUCUUCUCAUAAAAGCGCUUUUAAAAAUGUAUUUUUUUUUUUUUUUUUAAAUUUCGUGCCCCACCAAAGAUCCACCACCAGCAGCCUGUGACCGCUUGUCCGAGGCGCUGCAGGGGGAGCAGCCCUCGGUGCGACUGGGCAGAUGGAGCUCAUCCCUUCCCCUCUACCACCCGCCGUGGUCCUGGGGGUGAGGGAGCACCGCUGGGCACGGGGGGAGCCCCUUGGCCGUGGGAGUGUGCGGCGGCGGCGGCAGCCCGAGGAGCAGUACCCGUUCAAGAGGAAAAACACCCCAGGAGGCUUUAUAUAAAUAUACCCACGCGUGGAAGUGCACACGCGGGGCUGGAUGGCAAUGUGUACAUGACUCCGCGCACAGCCCGCGCCGCAGGGCGGGACGGGGAGCUCCAAAUCUCCCCACGGACGGGGCGUUCGCGCCCCGCUUGGCGUUGGUUUGUGCGGGACGCGUCGCGGAGACUGUGCCUAGGGGCUGGAGAGCCUCACACGAGUGGGGCGCUGCUUGGAGCGAGUGCGACAGGGACAUCUCUCCCUUUCCGCUGCUCCCCUUCCUCUCCACCCUGGGAGGGCGUAUUCUCCGUGCACCUGUAGGAAGAGAUCCCAAGCAGAUGCUGGGCUCCCGCGUUUCUCUUUCCCCGUGUGCCGUGGUGGCCGCCCUCCUCGCUCCCGCGGGGACAGACCCGGAGGAAGCGGCUGCUCCGGCUGCCCGGGCGCGCACCGCUCCGCGCCCCUCAGAAACCCAGGGCUGCGGCCACCAGCACCUCGCACAUUUUCCACUUCACCUCUGGCAAAUGCCUGCCCUGUCGCGCCAGGAGCACAAAGAGCCCUCUCUCUUCGGCAGCUCGGCUCCUCGCAGGCUGCUCCCGAGACCCGUCCCCCCUGCACCACUUCCAUCACGAAACCGCUCCUGGACGCAGCCGGAGCUGCUGUUCCCAUCUCCACGCUCAGCCUCCCCACCCUAUCGCUCCCCUUUUAACAGCGUUGUCUCCCCAAUACAAACAAAAAAGCAAGAAGUGCACUCGGAGAAAGUAUUUCUUCCCUUUGCUCAUUUCGAGGCAUAAAGAUAAAAUAUGGGAAUAAUUGGUGGGUGGAAGAUCCUAAACCAAUGGGAAAUGUAUGGGCUCGACAACCUCUGGAUAACCCGGGUACCUUGGCACGAAAAGUGCAAAAAUAUUUACUCACCUUGAAGCUUCUGAUUUUUUUUUAAGCUUUUUAUUUAUUUUGUUUUUAUUUCUUAAAUCAUCUUUUGAGAUGGUUCAAGCUCCUGUCCGAGGUCUAAUUAUAGUAAGCAGGAAGAGGAUGGAAGGGGAAUGGGUUGAUUCUUGGGGGGCAAAAAUCAAAACACCCUAAGCCGCCAGACUGGGAAGGUGCUGGACAAAAAGGCCUUUUGUGACUCAUGCACACUCUGAAAUGAAGAUCUGAAAAAUGCUUACAAGCCCCCUCUGACUGGUUUGAAAGUGAUUCCAGCAAUUAGGAAUUAAUUUGGCAUGGUCAAAAGGCGAUUUCACUGCAAGUUAUAUCAAGUUA